GACAGAGAAGGAGGCCCUCCAUGUCCCAAGGGGGUUCUCUGCUGCCCAUCCACCGGGGACUCCAGGGAAGUUGGAGUGAGGACCACUGCCUCUCCCAGUGAGGAGACCGGGAGGCAUCAUCCUUCCAUGAAACCCCAUCUGGUAGAUUAGCCUGACCUGGUGAUGACAGGGGCCUCGCUGUGUUCUGCGGUGUGGGGAGGCUGGCGACCAACCUCCCUGAGCGUGGGCCGGGCUGAGUGCAGCACCCAUUCUGCACCGCAGACACCACAGAGUACCGUGCAUGGAGCUGCGCUCAGCGGGAAUGUCUGCCGAGACCAACUGUCCCUGAGAACUCUGAACGGAUGCCAUCGGACAUGUGGAAACGGAGGCCGUCCCAGUGGGAUGGAUGUUGAAUGGCCAAAUGAGAGAGACGGGGAAGGGGAAGCAUUGGUGAGAAUGUGAGGAAACAAGCCCUGCCCAGCGAUGUUCAGAAGGUGCUGUGGCUCAAGCGGACAAGUGGUUCAGCAGCCCCCAAGGAGAUCCAGCCACGCAGCUGCAGACACGAGGGGCUCACUGCCCACUUCUCUGGGCCCCUGAGAAGUUCAGAGCACAGGAAUGCACCACGUUAGCCUUCUGAAGAUCAUCCUGGGUUUCGUUCCAAGGAGCAUUUCCACCUGCUGGGAAUGUUUAGUUACAAACUGAGACAGAGGCAUAAAGCUUGAAGAGCUGAAAAACAUUAUGCAAAUCUAAUCACUUCUGGACCGUUUUCUGAGGUGCAAUUAUGUGGUGCAGCCAGACGAAAACAACUCAGAAGCCAAACACUCUUUUUCUCCCGGCUCAUUGUGUGCCUCCCCCAGCACCCGGACACUCUUCCCUUCUAAGUCUGUGAUUCUGAUGCUCCUCAAAUUCCCAUCACAGCAUCAUCCUGGGUCCAAAUUUCCCAAAUGUGAUCUACAAACCAGGACCACCUAGUAUUUUGGUUUAAAAUGAAGAUUUCCGGAUCCUACUCAGCACCCACCGUGCUCAUUUCCCCGGGCUGUCUUAGCAAACUGCAUGGCCUGGGGACUGAAGAGGGGGCUUAUUGUCUCCUUAUCUCAAUGAUUAAGACUGUGCAUAUCUUCAGAGCCACCAAUCAGUCCACUAUACCUGCUGAAUUACAAGAUGGGAUAAGGAAGAGGAAAUGCCCAGAAAUACACAUUAAAUCAGCAGAACCAUUGCAGGGGGUGGGGUUUUGUGCACUCCUCAUGGCUUUCGAUCUCACUUGCAGGCUGCUGACUCCACAUUCCUCCCCAACCCAGAGCAUGCUGCACAGCCCCCAGGCCAUGUAUAGUUACUCACCUGUUUGAACUCUCCCAUCAAAAUGUCUCACCUGCACAUCUCUGUGCUGUUCUUCUCCAGCCACAUCCCCUCACAGGCCUUGUUUCCAUGUCACCACGCUCUGUCAUCCCCCUUCCUCCAACCCAUCAUCAGACCUUGUAGAUUCAGGUGGGAAUCAUGGGGUUGUUGUGGAACAGCUCUCCUUCUUGCACCUAUUUGUUCCUUCUAUGUAUUCACAGCAAGCAGUUUAUCUUCUACCUGAGGUGAUUUUAGAGAUUUCGUUCCCAUGUCAUCCUGGAGCACUGUUUCUAGUGAUAUAGUCCAUCUCUGUUGCCCCACACAUUCUGCUGCCCAGAAUGUCUCCCCUCACGCAACCACACAGCCCUUGAUUACUCUACUGUCCAAGAGUCCUCUUUAACCCUUGGCAAUUCAGGGGGAAGGGCUAUCUGUUUAUCUCAUAAAUUAUAUCAGAUUACCCCUGACUAUAAGCUUUCAAUGUCCUUCCAUCCCAAUAUCUCUAAAACCCAGAGUUCCUAGUUUGGUCUGCUCUCCACAACUCACCUCCUGCUUCUGCCCCUGACCACCUCGAUAUCACCCUUAACUGGAGUAUUAAACUCCAUCCACAUGGACUUCUUUCUCUUAUUUUGAGAUGCCAAAACACUCUGUCCCAUCCUAGGGAAUCUCAUCAUAGGUUUCUUUAUGUCAAAAUAUUUAUUUCUUAAUUCAUCAGCUCGUUUGUAAUUAAGUUAUUUUCAUCCAUAGGUAUCAGCUCCAAUAUUGCUUGCAUGGCUGUACUUUUCAUAAAUACAGUCUCUAGUGACUUUCUCUCCUAUGGCAUUACAUCACAUUAUUCCCUCAUUUUAGAGCACAAGAGGUAUUGUAAUAGUUCAAAAUGUGCUGCUUUACUUGAUUGUUGCCUAUCCAAGUAAUUCAUGUUUUAUGAAUAAAUGAAAAUGAAUGUUCACUACUAGGAGUUAAGCUCAGUCUUCAUGACCAAAACAUAAGAGUCUCAUGGACAGCCUCUGGGUCUGGAAAACCAUGUUUCUGUUAAUCAGUGAGCUAUUUAUAUGGAGAACAUGUGAGGAACUUCCUUAUCUUUCUAUGGCCAUACAUGUAUUUCAGUUUUCUAAAUGAUUAAAUAUAUUAUUUAAAAAAAAACCCUCACAAGUGGAUGUUGGAAAGCUCUCUGUGAGCACUGCUAUUGAUCAGACCAAAAAUUAGGGACCCCUGAGUGGCUCAGUGGUUGAGCAUCUUCUUUGGCUCAGGGCAUGAUCCCAGAGCCCUGGGAUUGAGUCCCACAUCGGGAUCCUUGCAGGAAGCCUGCUUCCCCUCCGUCUGCCUAUGUCUCUGCCUCUCUCUGUCUCUCAUGAAUAAAUAAAAUCUUAAAAAAAAGACCAAAAAUUAACAUCUCAGAAGUGGGUAGAGCUGUUGAUGGAAAUUAGAACAGAUAUUUAUAGAAAUGGGGAAUCUCAAAUUGAGCCCAGAAAGAAGAAACAGGGAAGCUCUUCAUUCAAAAUCAAAGGGCUUUUACUCAUGCCAAUGGUUGAACAUGUUCCUACAGACCCAUCUUCUCUCAUGUAGCAGCAAUAAGCUCUCUUUGUAGAACUGCUGCUACCACACAACACACACACACAAACACAGAGCAACUAAGUAGGGGAAGUGGACAGCGAUCAAAACCAGGGAUAUUCUAGAGGUAAGUCAAUCUUUGAAGGAAAAAAAAAAUGACAAGUGGUGUUGAACAUCAAUGUAGCUGUAAAUUGGUCUCUCCACCACCCUCCCCUCCGCUAAAGAGAGAGGUGCUUGAUAAUUUGUCAGUUAUCAUGGUGUUAAUUCCCACCAUGUCUGAUUUCAAACUGUAAAUGACUUUACAAUCAAUUGGAAAAUUUCAGAAUAUUUGGCAAUUGGUUCUUGUGAGCCAAUGGAAGAUGGCUCCAGCACUCUACAGGCAUAGGAUGGGUUUCCCAUCCUUAUAGUUUAUCACAUGGCCAAGAGUGGGCAGGUUUUUGAGAGGAAUCAUCACUCGGAAAAAAAAGGUACUUUGUAGAGAAUUGAUUUUCUAUCUUCACAGCUUCUAGUCUGAGGCCAGGCCCCAGAAAGCAUGUGAGAUAGCUAAAAGUCCAAUAGAUAGUCUGCAGUCUUUGUCAUCCUGAAAAGCCAGAAGUUAAAAUGUAGGGCAUCCAUAGAUAUGGGGAAAAUUGAGUAGAAAUCCUAGGAAGGAGAGCAUUCGUAAAAUCUGUGCUAAUAUGUCUGGAGCAUGCAUAUAUAAGACCGAUACAGGCAGGCCAGCUAAGGACAAAAUCUGAGCUGCCAUCCAGAGACAGAGCUUGCACUUUGAUUCCAACCAAGUUAGUAUGCUGUAACAACCACAGAACACUCUUUAGGGGAAUAUAACAAAAUCCAGAGUCUGAACAAAAUAAUAUUCACAAUGUCAAGAAGGAAUCCAAAUUUAUACAACCUUCAAGGAAACAGGAUAAUAUGACCCAAUCUCAAGAAAAAGACAGUCAGUGGGAACUGACCCAGACUAAGACUCUAAAGCAAGUAUUAAUACUAUGUUCAGUAACAUAGUGGAAAUAUAUCCAUAAAGAAUUGAAAUGGGGGAUGGGAUGUUGCAAGAGAUGUAUUGGAAGGUGAGGUGGGGAGUCUUCAGAACCAACACAUGUCUGGAUCCCGUGAGAGGAGGAAGAAGAGGAAAAGACUGGAUAGGAAGAGGGCCAGUCUGUUUCUCCCAGGAGGGGGCCUGCCUCACUGCCCUCACCCAGCUCAGCUGCUUUGAAAGGCAGACUGAGAGAAGGAUGGCCACCUACAAAUGCAGCGAUGGCCCACAGGGGCAGCAGGUGGGGCUUCAUUCCACUGUGCUUCCCAGGGGGAGAUCUGAGCGUCCCGUCUUCAUCACUGCUGCAGUGCCCACUUCCAGGUCAUUUCUUCAAACUAUCCUCUUAUUCACCUAUUCUUCUGCUUCUUACACAUUCACCAAAUAGAAUCAGU